rnacentral:miRNA from 1 species
AGUGGUGGUGGGGAUGGGG